UUGGCGAAUGCCUGUGGAUCUACAUUUGUUGCGGGUUCGAGACCCGUCAGAGCCCGGCUCUGUAGCUCAAUGGUAGAGCGGUGUAUUCACAUAAACUUGUCGCCACCCU
rnacentral:tRNA from 25 species